AUUGAACGCUGGCGGCAGGCUUAACACAUGCAAGUCGAGCGAGUGGCGGACGGGUGAGUAAUGUCCGGGAAACUGCCUGAUGGAGGGGGAUAACUACUGGAAACGGUAGCUAAUACCGCAUACCAUCAGAUGUGCCCAGAUGGGAUUAGCUCGUAGGUGGGGUAACGGCUCACCCAGGAGACGAUCCCUAGCUGGUCUGAGAGGAUGACCAGCCACACUGGAACUGAGACACGUUCCAGACUCCUACGGGAGGCAGCAGUGGGGAAGAUUGCACAAUGGGGGCAAGCCUGAUGCAGCCAUGCCGCGUGUGUGAAGAAGGCCUUCGGGUUGUAAAGCACUUUCAGCGAGGAGGCGUUACUCGCAGAAGAAGCACCGGCUAACUCCGUGCCAGCCGCCGCGGUAAUUC
rnacentral:rRNA from 1 species